GACGAACGCUGGCGGCGUGCCUAAUACAUGCAAGUCGAACGCAGUGGGGACGGGUGCGUAACACGUGGGUAACCUCCCAUCAGAUGGGAUAACCCUUGGAUACAGGUGCUAACCCGCUAUUGAUGGCUGGACCCGCGGUGCAUUAGCUAGUGGGUGCGGUAACGGCUCACCAAGGCGACGAUGCAUAGCCGACCUGAGAGGGUGAUCGGCCACACUGGGACUGAGACACGGCCCAGACUCCUACGGGAGGCAGCAGUAGGGAAUCUUCGGCAAUGGACGAAAGUCUGACCGAGCAACGCCGCGUGAGUGAAGAAGGUUUUCGGAUCGUAAAACUCUGUUGUUAGAGAAGCGGUAUCUAACCAGAAAGCCACGGCUAACUACGUGCCAGCAGCCGCGGUAAUUC
rnacentral:rRNA from 1 species